GUGUCAGCAGCCGCGGUAAUACGGAGGGGGCUAGCGUUGUUCGGAAUUACUGGGCGUAAAGCGCACGUAGGCGGCUUGGUAAGUUAGAGGUGAAAGCCUGGAGCUCAACUCCAGAAUUGCCUUUAAGACUGCCGAGCUAGCAGGUGAGAGAGGUGAGUGGAAUUCCGAGUGUAGAGGUGAAAUUCGUAGAUAUUCGGAAGAACACCAGUGGCGAAGGCGGCUCACUGGCUCAUACUGGACGCUGAGGUGCGAAAGCGUGGGGAGCAAACAGGAUUAGAUACCCUCGUAGUCC
rnacentral:rRNA from 1 species